rnacentral:rRNA from 1 species
AACGAACGCUGGCGGCGUGUCUGAUUCAUGCAAGUCGAGCGAGAAAGUCCCUUCGGGGGCGAGUAAAGCGGCGGACUGCUGAGUAAUGCAUAGGCAACCUGCCCGUGAGACCGGGAUAACUCCUCGAAAGGGGAGCUAAUACCGGAUAUUGUGACCAACCGCAUGGUUCGGUUAUGAAAGGGAUGGUGCCCUUCGGGGUCUUCCGCUCACGGAUGGGCCUGUGUCCUAUUAGCCUGUUGGUGGGGUAACGGCUCACCAAAGCUACGAUGGGUAGCCGGCCUGAGAGGGCGAUCGGCCAGACUGGGACUGAGACACUGCCCAGACUCCUACGGGAGGCAGCAGAGGAGAAUCAUCCGCAAUGGGCGCAAGCCUGACGGUGCGACGCCGCGUGGGCGAUGAAGGCCUUCGGGUCGUAAAGCCCUGUCAGAGGCACGGAAAGGUGGUGGAUGAAAGUCUGCCUUCUUGACCCACCUCAAAGGAAGGCCCGGCUAACUUCGUGCCAGCAGCAGCGGUAAAACGGAGGGGCCAAGCGUUGUUCGGAAUUACUGGGCUUAAAGGGCGUCUAGGCGGGCCUGCAAGUCGAGUGUGAAAGCCCCCGGCUCAACCGGGGAACGGUGCCCGAAACUGCGGGUCUUGAGUGCAGGAGGGGAGAGCGGAACUCCCGGUGUAGCGGUGAAAUGCGUUGAUAUCGGGAUGAACGCCGGAGGCGAAAGCGGCUCUCUAGCCUGCUACUGACGCUGAAGCGCGAAAGCUAGGGGAGCAAACGGGAUUAGAUACCCCGGUAGUCCUAGCCGUAAACGAUGGGCACUAGGUAGGGUAGGUUCCGAUACCGCUCCUGCCGUAGGGAAACCGUUAAGUGCCCCGCCUGGGGAGUACGGCCGCAAGGCUAAAACUCAAAGGAAUUGACGGGGGCCCGCACAAGCGGUGGAGCACGUGGCUCAAUUCGAAGCAAACCGAAGAACCUUAUCCUGGGCUUGACAUGCUGGUGGUACAAACCCGAAAGGGGGAGGACUCCGUUCUGCGGAGAGCCAGCACAGGUGCUGCAUGGCUGUCGUCAGCUCGUGUGGUGAGAUGUUGGGUUAAGUCCCGUAACGAGCGAAACCCCUGCCCUUAGUUGCCAGCGGAUAAUGCCGGGGACUCUAGGGGGACUGCCGGUGUCAAACCGGAGGAAGGUGGGGAUUACGUCAAGUCAUCAUGGCCCUUAUGCCCAGGGCUGCACACGUGCUACAAUGGCCGGUACAGAGGGACGCCAAACCGCGAGGUGGAGCAAAUCCCAAAAAGCCGGCCCCAGUUCGGAUCGGAGGCUGCAACUCGCCUCCGUGAAGCCGGAAUCGCUAGUAAUCGCGGGUCAGCUAAACCGCGGUGAAUAUGUUCCCGGGCCUUGUACACACCGCCCGUCAAGCCGCCAAAACCAGGGAUACCUGAAGUCGCUGAACCAACCCCGCUUCGGCGGGGAGGAAAGUGCCGAAGGUAGGCCUGGUGAUGG